UGGGGAAUCUUGGACAAUGGGGGCAACCCUGAUCCAGCCAUGCCGCGUGAGUGAUGAAGGCCUUAGGGUCGUAAAGCUCUUUCGCCUGUGAAGAUAAUGACGGUAGCAGGUAAAGAAACCCCGGCUAACUCCGUGCCAGCAGCCGCGGUAAUACGGAGGGGGUUAGCGUUGUUCGGAAUUACUGGGCGUAAAGCGCACGUAGGCGGACCAGAAAGUUGGGGGUGAAAUCCCGGGGGCUCAACCCCGGAACUGCCUCCAAAACUAUUGGUCUAGAGUUCGAGAGAGGUGAGUGGAAUCCCAAGUGUAGAGGUGAAAUUCGUAGAUAUUGGGAAGAACACCAGUGGCGAAGGCGGCUCACUGGCUCGAUACUGACGCUGAGGUGCGAAAGUGUGGGGAGCAAACAGGAUUAGAUACCCUGGGUAGUCCACACCGUAAAACGAUGAAUGCCAGUCGUCGGGUAGCAUGCUAUUCGGUGACACACCUAACGGAUUAAGCAUUCC
rnacentral:rRNA from 1 species